AACGAACGCUGGCGGCAGGCCUAACACAUUGCAAGUCGAGCGAGACCUUCGGGUCUAGCGGCGGACGGGUGAGUAACGCGUGGGAAUAUGCCCUUCGGUUCGGAAUAGCCCCGGGAAACUGGGAGUAAUACCGGAUACGGUCUACGGACGAAAGAUUUAUCGCCGAAGGAUUAGCCCGCGUUGGAUUAGGUAGUUGGUGGGGUAAUGGCCUACCAAGCCGACGAUCCAUAGCUGGUUUGAGAGGAUGAUCAGCCACACUGGGACUGAGACACGGCCCAGACUCCUACGGGAGGCAGCAGUGGGGAAUCUUAGACAAUGGGGGAAACCCUGAUCUAGCCAUGCCGCGUGAGCGAUGAAGGCCUUAGGGUUGUAAAGCUCUUUCAGCUGGGAAGAUAAUGACUGUACCAGCAGAAGAAGCCCCGGCUAACUCCGUG
rnacentral:rRNA from 1 species